AGCAGAAAUAAAAAUUGAAUGACAAAUGAAAGUGAUAAUUCUGAGGAAAGAGCGGUGAUUUGUGUAGCGAAUUGGAGGUGGGUGCAAAAGCUUACAGCACCUGGUAUUCCCAGGCGGUCUCCCAUCCAAGUACUAAGCAGGCCCGACCCUGCUUAGCUUCCGAGAUGGGACGAAAUCGGGCGUUCUCAGGGUAGUAUGGCCGUAAGUGGAGGAAGACGUGAAAAUGUCCCCCUUUAUAGGUGACGGGGCAUUUCCGGGUCGGGGGGGAGGGGGGGU